GCUCUCCAUGUAGGAACCCAGUGCCUUAACCACCACGCCACCUGCUGGUCCCUAGCAAAGGCACUUCUUAGUUCCUGCUCUCCCCACUGCUGGCCUGGCCAGCCGUUGCCAGUCGGGAGAGCUGCAUGUCAGGUGGCCAACACUCCUGUCCUGGCCUGCCGGCAGCCCCGCCCCAUUCUGGGGCGGCAGGUCAGAGACUGUCCACUCAAUGGCAGCGGGUGUGUUGGCGCUGCCCACCUGCUCUCCAGGCUCUGCUCUGUGCUCUCCGGACCCUGGGUGGCGCUCCACUCACCGGGCUGAGCAACCUCCGUUUCUACUUCCUGCCCGGCCUGCUGCAGACCUGCUCCACCUCAGCACUCAGGAACCGGCCAGCUCUGUCAUGGCAGCACCUGCCACACUGCGGUGCCGGUCAGGGGUGUGCACCUGCCCUUCCUUAAACGAGGAGCUUCUUACUGACCCGUCGACAUGCAUCGCACUUGCUGAGAGCCGGCCUCGUGGGGACCAGCGGCGAGCAAGUGGCUGAGAGCCGGCCAGCCUCUCGUGGGGACCAGCAGUGAGCAGGUGGCUGAGAGCCGGCCAUGUGGGGACCAGCAGUGAGCAGGUGGCUGAGAGUCGGCCUCAUGGGGACCAGCGGCAAGCAGGUGGUUGAGAGCCUCUCCUCCCGGAGCUUCUGUUCUGGUAGUGACAGGGACAGAGGUACGUAAAUACUGAGCAUAGGGCAGGGCACCUGCUGAUGAGCAGGAGGGACAGAGGCAGGGACAGGAGAGGGACGUGGUUACGGAUUGCAGAAGACAGUCGGGGAGCCUUUAUUGAGAGCAGAAUCUCAAACAAGAACCUGGAAGGGGCCGGCAGCAGACCAGGGGCAACUGUGGGCUGCGAUGGCAUUACCACGUGGGCCCGGGUGUGGUCUGCAUGCUUCCAUGCAGUGAGCCUGGGCCACACGGAGCGAAUAAAUCGGAUCAGAGACUUGUGCCUUGCCACACCUGCACGCGGGAGGCUCGCCCUGGCUCUUGUUCCUCCUGCGGCGUUUCUGUGCACUUGGGAUCAGGCAUGGGAAGACUUCCACCCGGUCUCAUGGCCGCUGUAAGCUGCACUGCAGGUAUUCCCGGGGCUUGUCUCUCGCCAUGUGUAUCCCUGCAAAGGGCCAAAAAAUGCUUAGGCGAAGUUAAAGCCAAGCUUCCACGCAUGCUCCGGCUCGCGGGAUGAAGAAUGAGCGGGACAGACCUGGGUCGGAGUCGGCCCUGAUGCGUCGUGAGCAGGAGAACAUCAGCAGUGGGCCUUGGCUGCCGUGGUCCACUAGGACCUCACUUAUCCCACCUGAAGGGCCCCAAUUCCCAAUUCCAGGAAGUAGCAAAGUGGAAGAACCCCGCAGUGACAUGUGAGUGGGCGUCAUUGAGUCUCCUGCAGCUGAUUUACCAUGUCUACCCACUCGGUGUCGCCAAGACUGGGCCACCCACCUCGUUUUUCUCUGGCAGUGGGCCAAAUGGAAGCUAUGCUUGAGCUGGAGGAUCUUUCAGACCGUUUUUAAAAUCAUCCACAGAAGCAAAGCUCAUUUUCCCUAUUGGUAAGAUGAACUCUGCAUUAAGAAUAUAUUUUAUUAUUGUACAGAAGAUGUAUGAGAAGGUUUUCACUCACUUACCUAGAAGGCCCACGCUGGGAGUCUGUCCCAAGAACAGAGCAAACUUCCUCUACAGAGGUGCUUAUGGAAGCAACAGUAUUCACCUGUGGAGAAGGAUUCUGGAAACCAAGGUUUGCAAGGAACCAAAGUGAGUCCAUCUUGAAGCUAAUUGGCCAUGGUGACCGACAUUUAACCCCACAGUUCCCAGCUGAAUUUCCGAGGCUGGAAUGCAGCUUUGGCCAGUAUAGUAAAGAUAAUUGUGCCUGCCCAUGGAGUGCACGUCCUGACCACAGUUAAAACGUGGUACAGCACAGACUGCGCCAUGCCUUCCUCCGAUGCCUCCCUUCCUUCGGUAUACACCGCUCUCCUGUACUGACAGCAGCAGCCUCUGCCUGGGGUGAAGAUCAGGGAGACCUAGCCGUCUGAAGCCACCCAAGACCUUACUCCUGUCCCUACAUUGCCAUAAUAAACUCAGACUCGACCAACCGGUCCUGUCUGCCUCCUCCUGUA